UGAAGUAUAUAUAUAUAUAUACAGAGAGAGAGAGAGAGUGAGAGAGAGAGAGAGAGAGACUCGAUAGGUAUUUUCGAGUUCUAGUUGGAUCCAUGAAAGGAGAGUCACUUGGACACGUCUAAUCGAGGGCAAGAGAGAGAGAAAGAGAGAGAGA